GAUGAACGCUGGCGGCGUGCCUAAUACAUGCAAGUCGAGCGAAUGGAUUAAGAGCUUGCUCUUAUGAAGUUAGCGGCGGACGGGUGAGUAACACGUGGGUAACCUGCCCAUAAGACUGGGAUAACUCCGGGAAACCGGGGCUAAUACCGGAUAACAUUUUGAACCGCAUGGUUCGAAAUUGAAAGGCGGCUUCGGCUGUCACUUAUGGAUGGACCCGCGUCGCAUUAGCUAGUUGGUGAGGUAACGGCUAACCAAGGCAACGAUGCGUAGCCGACCUGAGAGGGUGAUCGGCCACACUGGGACUGAAACACGGCCCAGACUCCGACGGGAGGCAGCAGUAGGGAAUCUUCCGCAAUGGACGAAAGUCUGACGGAGCAACGGCGCGUGAGUGAUGAAGACUUUCGGGUCGUAAAACUCUGUUGUUAGGGAAGAACAAGUGCUAGUUGAAUAAGCUGGCACCUUGACGGUACCUAACCGGAAAGCCACGGCUAACUACGUGCCAGCCGCCGCCGUAA
rnacentral:rRNA from 1 species